GACGAACGCUGGCGGCGUGCCUAAUACAUGCAAGUCGAGCGAAUCAAAGGGAGCUUGCUCCCUUUGGUUAGCGGCGGACGGGUGAGUAACACGUGGGCAACCUGCCUGUAAGACUGGGAGAACUUCGGGAAACCGGAGCUAAUACCGGAUAAUUCCUUUCCUCCCAUGAGGAAAGGCUGAAAGACGGUGUACGCUGUCACUUACAGAUGAGCCCGCGGCGCAUUAGCUAGUUGGUGAGGCACCGGCGCAGCGAGGCAACGAUGCGUAGCCGACCUGAGAGGGUGAUCGGCCACACUGGGACUGAGACACGGCCCAGACUCCUACGGGAGGCAGCAGUAGGGAAUCUUCCGCAAUGGACGAAAGUCUGACGGAGCAACGCCGCGUGAGUGAUGAAGGUUUUCGGAUCGUAAAACUCUGUUGUUAGGGAAGAACAAGUAUGAGAGUAACUGCUCGUACCUUGACGGUACCUAACCAGAAAGCCACGGCUAACUACGUGCCAGCAGCCGCCGUAAGAC
rnacentral:rRNA from 1 species